rnacentral:lncRNA from 1 species
CUUUGAAAGGCUGAGUUCAAGGUUAUAGUUCUGAGAAGAACCUCCUGCCAUUACAUUAUUGAACUGUGUCAUAGAUACGGCUCAUUUUUCACUCAUCCAAUUUACCUUAAAGCAGAAAUGACAGACCUGGACUGAUUAUAGCUACCUGGAAUUUCUACAUUGCUCUCCAACAUCAGAGUACCAGGAUGCUCUCCCCUGUGGGAUUACCUUGCCAGUGGUCACUUUUUCCCAGCCAGCCUGAGCAGUAACAUCUUUGCAACAAGGCUCCUUUUUGUGACGGGGAGGAGGACACAGAUGCUGCCUGGAUGUACUGGUGGACAGUUCACACCUGCCUCACCGAUUAAUAUCUGGGGGAUUAUCCUAACCCUGCUCCAGUGGUCUUCGGUGCUGUUUUGAACUCAGGAUGGAGUUGAAGAAAAUUAGGAAGAAAAACAGGUGUCUGGUGAAUGAAGUCAAGCUGGGAAAACAUGUUAAAAAACAUUCUGUAUGGAUGUUCUGUACGAACACCAGCAAGUGUACCAGCAAAGUACACCAGCAAGUCUGUCUGCCAAAGACAGUGUUUCCAGAUGUUUGCAGUGCAUCAGCCUGGUGUUUAAAUAAAACCUGUAGCAGUAAUUCUGUGAAUUCUUCCGAGGACCAUGUGAAGCCUGGACUGCAUAUGACCAUGUUGUCUAGGAGGUCUGUGAGUCCCGAACUUCAUGCAGCAUGGAGCAGUACGAGCUGGAGCCUCCUCUGGCUGAUCAUCAGGCUGAAGUCAACCACCGUGUUGUUAGUUGGAAACUGGCCAGGUUUGCAGCUGAGGCGUCAACACAAGCUGUCUGUGAGCAAGAAUCAGCACCAAUCUCUGAGAUUAUAAAGAAAGCUGAAUAUCAAAUUUCAUCACAAAUACAUACAUGUUAUUGCUGCUCACCUGGAGCUUCCUACAGGCAGAAAGAAGCAUUUCCAGGGAAUGACGGAUUUCACUUAUCUUCAACAGCUGUUUUGAAAUGGACACAGAGAUACUUAAGAGAACACGUUUAGACUAGACUCCCGCUUACAGAUGAUUAAAAUUAGAUGAGAUCCAUUCUUUAUGACGGUUCUCAAAUUUUAGUUCUUUCUUCAAAUCUUUUGUGGACAGCUCAAACAAUUUCCUACAAGUUUUCCUUCCUCUAUGUGUUAAGGAAAAAUUUCACUGUUCUAGCUUAGUGGAGACUCAAGCAGGCAAGGAGAACUGAGUUGUGGGAUGGAUAAACACGUUGCCAAUUGCCACACAGGAAGCCCUCAAGAGAACUGGAGGAAGCUCAGAUUUGCUGAAUGUGAGAUCAAGUUCAAAGAGCUUCAUCUGAAUGGCUGAACUAACACAGUGUCUUAAAACCUCCAGCAGAUCACACACUACCUGAGCU